UGAGGGAAGGACUAGACCCUGG
rnacentral:piRNA from 1 species